rnacentral:rRNA from 1 species
GCUCAAAGGCGUGUCUUGAUGGGUGCGUAGGCCAGGGGCAGGCAUCUUAUGAUGUCAGUUAGCCUGGCUGGGCGGGUCCAACACCAAUCGGGGCCUUUUGCCUUUCAGGCAAAGGGACUGCUCGGUUGUGAGGGGUGGCUGUUAACCUACUUCCAAUCAAUUUUUCUGAAGACAGUUCUAUUGGCUGGCUCUGCCGGCUAUAGUCUGACUAACUAAGGACAACUCUCAACAACGGAUAUCUUGGCUCCCGUAACGAUGAAGAACGCAGCGAAAUGCGAUACGUAGUGUGAAUUGCAGAAUUCCGUGAACCAUCGAAUCUUUGAACGCAAAUUGCGCUCGAGGCUUCGGCCAAGAGCAUGUCUGCCUCAGCGUCGGCUACUACCCUCAACUAAAUUUCAUUGGUUUUCCAAUGCAAAGGCAGUUGGAACUGGCCGUCCGGUUUGCCCAUUGGGUAGCCGGUCAGCUGAAACACAAUCACGCUUUGUGGGCUCCUUUCCAUUUGGAAAGGCGAGUUCCGAUUUGGUAGGUGACCUUUGCCGGUUGCAUGCCUUCGUUGCUCGCUAUGCCUAUCAUUGGCCGUGUGCAGGACGCCUUUUGGCUUUCGACCUGAGGUCAGGCAAGAACACCCGCUGAACUUAAGCAUAUCAAUAAGCGGAGGAAAAGAA